CUUGGAGCAUGUGCAAUGGUCUCGGAGAAUUAAAACAACAUCCUGCCCGAAGGACCACAGCCAAGACACCACUGGCUUUAAAUUCAAAGCCUACACCACCGGCUUUAAAUUCAAAGCCUGGUCCCUAGCGAAGAAAGCGCUUUAAUGUGCUCCCCGCGCUUCCCGGUGCGAGAUUCCUGCCCAGCAACCAGGCCACGACUGGGUGAGCACCUGAUGCGGGGGGAGGGCGAACCAAGGCCUUGGCGGAUCUGGAGCGAGGAACGAGGGGCUCUCGAAGCUCCGGAAAAGCACUGCCUUCUAGGGGUGGGGACCCUUCGGCAUCCCCAGGGGUGGACACCAAGAACACGUGAGGCGACAGGGGCAGAGAUAGGGUGUCCCGGGCAGGCAGCCUGGGUCCAGCAAGGCAGCCAAAAAGAAGAGGGAAAAGACGGUGGCCCUGGGCAGGGCACAGGCCUCUGAGCUCAGAGGGUGAAGCCUUACUGGAGGGCCGGGCCUGGGAAUCUGGAGUUCUCGACUCCGCCCACCGCACUCACAGGAGCUCUAGAUGACCCUGGUCGGCAAGGAGGCACCCCUACUGGGCACUGAAUAUGAGCAUAAUAAGAUAUUUGUUGAAUAAAUGGAUGAGUGAAGGAGUGAAUGGUGCUUGGCCAGCGCUGGACACAUGGCACGCCCCUUUUUGCCCAGCAGGCAAGCAACAGCAUCCAGGCCUUCCUUCUUGGCUGGGAUGUGGAUAUGUGUGCUGCAAGUUCAGGGAGUGCCUUUUAGCAAGAUAAUCAGUGUGAAGGCACAACCUGGCAACGAUCAUUGCGACACCAGGAAGUUCACAAGGAUUUUAUUAAGAGAAUGAUUGCUCAGCCAUAACCUGCUUUUCCCAG